GGCCCAGACUCCUACGGGAGGCAGCAGUGGGGAAUAUUGGGCAAUGGGCGCAAGCCUGACCCAGCAACGCCGCGUGAAGGAAGAAGGCUUUCGGGUUGUAAACUUCUUUUCUCAGGGACGAAGAAAGUGACGGUACCUGAGGAAUAAGCCACGGCUAACUACGUGCCAGCAGCCGCGGUAAUACGUAGGGGGCAAGCGUUAUCCGGAUUUACUGGGUGUAAAGGGAGCGUAGACGGUCCUGCAAGCCAGAUGUGAAAGCCCGGGGCUCAACCCCGGGACUGCAUUUGGAACUGCAUGGCUGGAGUGCGGGAGGGGCAGGCGGAAUUCCUGGUGUAGCGGUGAAAUGCGUAGAUAUCAGGAGGAACACCGGCGGCGAAGGCGGCCUGCUGGACCGCGACUGACGUUGAGGCUCGAAAGCGUGGGGAGCGAACAGGAUUAGAUACCCCUGUA
rnacentral:rRNA from 1 species